GGGAUGAGCUCAAGCUUAAAAUCUCCGUGCAAUUUUUGCGCGGCGAAUUGUAGUCUAUAGAAGCGUGGUCAGUAUGAGCACUUGGGUUAAGUUCCUUGGAAGAGGACAGCAUGGAGGGUGAUACUCCCGUUCAUCCCUAAGUUGCUUGUGCGUACGACCCGUUUUCUUUGAGUCGCGUUGUUUGAGAAUGCAGCGCAAAGUAGGUGGUAAAUUCCAUCUAAAGCUAAAUAUUGGUGCGAGACCGAUAGCAUACAAGUACCGUGAGGGAAAGAUGAAAAGAACUUUGAAAAUAGAGUUAAAGAGUACCUGAAACUGCUGAAAGGUAACCAAAUCGUUUCCAGUGUCUAUAAUCCGUAGUAUAUUUCAUUGACGAGCGUGUGCGUGCGUGUGCUGUUGCAGUGGCCUUUUGGCUGCGCUCGGCGUGUGUGCUGUGUGUGCUUGCUGGUGCCCUGUGCUACGGUGGGACGUCAAGGUCAGUUCGUAUGCUGCGGGAAAUGGCCACUGAGGAGGUAGGGCUUACGCUUGCGUUUGUCUGUUAUAUCUUGGUGGACGAGUAGUCGCGGUUGGGACUGAGGUGCCUACAACGUGCUUUUGAGUGGACUUGGGUCUCCGUGUGCGCCGUGUGCGGAUAGCUUGCUAUGCGUGUGUGAUUGUGUAUGGAUUGAUGCGAGUCGUAACUUGUAGCCGUUCGGGACGUUGACG
rnacentral:rRNA from 1 species